AGCAUAUCAAUAAGCGGAGGAAAAGAACCAACAGGGAUUGCCCUAGUAACGGCGAGUGAAGCGGCAACAGCUCAAAUUUGAAAUCUGGCGCAAGCCCGAGUUGUAAUUUGUAGAGGAUGUUUCUGGCGACGUACCUUCCGAGUUCCCUGGAACGGGACGCCAUAGAGGGUGAGAGCCCCGUACGGUUGGUUGCCUAGCCUUUGUGAAACUCCUUCGACGAGUCGAGUAGUUUGGGAAUGCUGCUCUAAAUGGGAGGUAUACGUCUUCUAAAGCUAAAUACCGGCCAGAGACCGAUAGCGCACAAGUAGAGUGAUCGAAAGAUGAAAAGCACUUUGAAAAGAGGGUUAAAUAGUACGUGAAAUUGUUGAAAGGGAAGCGUUUAUGACCAGACUUGGGUAGGUUGAUCAUCCGUGGUUCUCCGCGGUGCACUCUGCCUGCCUAGGCCAGCAUCAGUUCAGUUCGGGGGAUAAAGGCUUCGGGAAUGUAGCUCCCUCGGGAGUGUUAUAGACCGUUGCGUAAUACCCUGAUCUGGACUGAGGUUCGCGCACUGCAAGGAUGCUGGCGUAAUGGUCAUCAGCGACCCGUCUUGAAACACGGACCAAGGAGUCGUCUUCGUAUGCGAGUGUUCGGGUGUCAAACCCCUACGCGUAAUGAAAGUGAACGUAGGAGAGAGCUUCGGCGCAUCUCCGACCGAUCCUGAUGUUCUCGGAUGGAUUUGAGUAAGAGCAUACGGGGCCGGACCCGAAAGAAGGUGAACUAUGCCUGUAUAGGGUGAAGCCAGAGGAAACUCUGGUGGAGGCUCGCAGCGGUUCUGACGUGCAAAUCGAUCGUCAAAUAUGGGCAUGGGGGCGAAAGACUAAUCGAACCUUCUAGUAGCUGGUUUCCGCCG
rnacentral:rRNA from 1 species